rnacentral:rRNA from 1 species
UACGUAGGGUGCAAGCGUUAAUCGGAAUUACUGGGCGUAAAGCGUGCGCAGGCGGUUGUGCAAGACAGAGGUGAAAUCCCCGGGCUUAACCUGGGAACGGCCUUUGUGACUGCACGGCUAGAGUGUGUCAGAGGGGGGUAGAAUUCCACGUGUAGCAGUGAAAUGCGUAGAGAUGUGGAGGAAUACCGAUGGCGAAGGCAGCCCCCUGGGAUAACACUGACGCUCAUGCACGAAAGCGCGGGGAGCGAACAGG